AUACGGAGGAUCCGAGCGUUAUCCGGAUUUAUUGGGUUUAAAGGGUGCGCGGGCGGCCAUUUAAGUCAGCGGUUAAAUCGUGGGGCUCAACCCCAUUCUGCCGUUGAUACUGGGUGGCUUGAUUGCGGUCGAGGUUGGCGGAAUUCGUUGUGUAGCGGUGAAAUGCAUAGAUAUGACGAAGAACACCGAUUGCGUAGGCAGCUGACCAGACCGCAAAUGACGCUCAUGCACGAAAGUGCGGGGAUCGAACAGGAUUAGAUACCCUGGUAGUCCGCACAGUAAACGAUGAAUACUUGUUUUCGGCGAUAUAAUGUCGGAGGCAAAGCGAAAGCGAUAAGUAUUCCGCCUGGGGAGUACGCCGGCAACGGUGAAACUUAAAGGAAUUGACGGGG
rnacentral:rRNA from 1 species